rnacentral:rRNA from 1 species
CCUACGGGUGGCAGCAGUGGGGGAUAUUGCACAAUGGGCGAAACCCUGACGCAGCGACGCCGCGUGAGUGAAGAAGUAUUUCGGUAUGUAAAGCUCUAUCAUCAGGGAAGAAAAAAGACGGUACCUGACUAUGAAGCCCCGGCUAACUACGUGCCAGCAGCCGCGGGAAUACUUAGGGGGCAAGCGUUAUCCGGAUUUACUGGGUGUAAAGGGGACGUGGACGGGAAUGCAAGUGGGAAGUGAAAGAGCCGGGCUCAACCUGGGGACUGCUUUGGAAACUGUAUGGCUGGAGUGCUGGAGAGGGAAGCGGAAUUCCUGGUGUAGCGGUGAAAUGCGUAGAUAUUAGGAGGAACACCAGUGGCGAAGGCGGCUUACUGGACAGUAACUGACGUUGAGGCUCGAAAGCGUGGGGAGCAAACAGGAUUAGAUACCCUUGUAGUC